UGGGGUCCGGCGGGAGGGUCGCCGCAGGGCGGGCGAGGUGGCAGCUCCGCUCUCCACGCCCCGGCUGAAAGGCCUGGGCCCGCGUCUGCAGCGUCAGGCUGCCCUCUGCGGGAACCCGGGGUCUCCACGUGUGGCCUUCACCCGGUGCCUGCCAGGCUCAGGGUUCAGGCCUCAGAAAACGACCGGAGUGACAGUGCCAUGUCGACUGUGCCCGUCAAGCUGUUCAUCCGUCCACCCUAGCGAUGCGCUUCAUUCUUACUGUGAAUCACGGUGGCCUUCUCUGCUGCCCAGCUGUGCGCAGUGUGGGUUUCUAGAAGCAGUGUCAUGCAUUAGUGUGGACAACCCUGGCCUGACAUACCGAAGUGUGUUAGUGAUGCCGGAGUUUGGAGUGACCACGCCAACACCAGUGCGGAAUUCAGCGGCAAGCUGACCAGGUUCUUGUCUCACUCAAGAAGAAUUAAUGGACAAAGGAGUCGCAAAGCAGGAGUUUUAUUAAGGACAGAGAGGGGGUCCCAUAGUGGGUUGUUGCUGAGGGGCUAAGUUUCAUGCCUUUUAUCCUUGUUAGGAGGAGGAACAGACCUUUUUGUGUUUUUUUUUCUCCAAAGGUAUUGUCUCAUCAGAGAACUGAAGGACAAGGCAACAGGCUGCGAGAACUAGGCGCUGUAGACAGAAUGGACCAGCGUCGAGGAAGGCAGAAGGCCACAGGGGUUGUUGAUAGAGGUGUGGUUGUCGCUGGCAUGUCUAGAAAGGAAACACUACAGUGAUUCUUCAUGGAGACCAGCGCCAUAGACUUAUAGUGACAAGAAACUAUCUCUUGGACCUCUUCAUCUCUUGAAUCAGGCCCUAGUGACUUAGGUGGAAAUGGAAG